GAUGAACGCUGGCGGCGUGCCUAAUACAUACAAGUCGAGCGAACGGACGAGAAGCUUGCUUCUCUGAUGUUAGCGGCGGACGGGUGAGUAACGCGUGGAUAACCUACCUAUAAGACUGGGAUAACUUCGGGAAACCGGAGCUAAUACCGGAUGAUAUUUUGAACCGCAUGGUUCAAAAGUGAAAGACGGUCUUGCUGUCACUUAUAGAUGGAUCCGCGCUGCAUUAGCUAGUUGGUAAGGUAACGGCUUACCAAGGCAACGAUGCAUAGCCGACCUGAGAGGGUGAUCGGCCACACUGGAACUGAGACACGGUCCAGACUCCUACGGGAGGCAGCAGUAGGGAAUCUUCCGCAAUGGGCGAAAGCCUGACGGAGCAACGCCGCGUGAGUGAUGAAGGUCUUCGGAUCGUAAAACUCUGUUAUUAGGGAAGAACAUAUGUGUAAGUAACUGUGCACAUCUUGACGGUACCUAAUCAGAAAGCCACGGCUAACUACGUG
rnacentral:rRNA from 1 species